UGAAAGGUUGCAUAAAUGAAGCGUAGAAGAGAUCAAUCGGAAGAACAAAAGGGAAAAGUGAAUUGACGUCAGACGACGAACGCAGCUGAAACGUAAAAGAUAGAGCGAGGGCCGGACUUCAAUAGCAAUUUCGAGAAAUCUCAUUUUCUAAGGCAGACAAACGUCAUUUCAUCGAAUAGUCGCGUUGUCACGUGAAUAUUUUACUCUUCGGAUGAGAAAGAUUCUGCUUUUCUAUCUCGAAAGCCAUUUCCACUGGCAGCAAGGAUAAUUAAACUUGGAUUUUAAUGAGCUUGAUCUGAAUGAAUUUUAGAAAUAUGAAAGAUCAGGCGAAGGUAAAGAAGAAUCGCGACAGCACAUAUGGGAGGAAUAAAGAGAUACAAAGGAAGAAGCGAUUAUGGGGAGAAAAGGCGAGGGUAUAAGAUGGAUGCUCGAAAUCGGGAAGAAAAGUAAAGACAAAGAAGAAAAAAUGAGCUGAGAAGAAAAGCGGAAAUCAAAGUGAAUUCAGAAAACAUCGAGGAUUAAAGGUUUACCACGCUAGGGAAACGAAAACCUUUUUCUUAUUUCGUGUUUUAUGUUAUUUACGUUAUUCGGAGUUACGGUAACGUGAAAAAGUUUGCCCAAAACCUUUCUUUAUGCUACGAUAAAUGGACAUUUCUCGUAAAUAACAAAGUGUAAGUGACAAAUGACUGAAAAUUAUUUAUUUC
rnacentral:misc_RNA from 1 species